AAGCCAUAUUUCCAGAAACAUUUCCAUAGGUACAAGUCUAUGCUCAGUUUGCUCAAUUUCAGCUUACAUAAAAAAGGAAUCCAGAGAGAUUUCACCAGAUCAUAUACAAAUAAAAAUAAGACUCUACUAACUCGACUUACACGCUGCAUCAGCAUUGCUCAAUCGUUUAGAGGGAGUCCUCUUUUUCUUGAAUGAUUGGCUCAGAGGUUCAAAGAGAGGAGCCCCUGGCAUACCAAGCCGUAAAUCUGUAUCACCAUUGUCAGCAAUCCAUGUUAUGCGAUUAACAGGCUCAGUUUCAUCAGGUGCAAGUGCUGGACGAUAAGGCCGCUUCUUAACAUAGUUAUCCUGCAGAGGUCUUGGGAUCUGGAAAGAAAACUGGGACAUACUUACACCUUGUGCUACAUAGUCUGGGUGUUCCUGCAAGUACUUUUCAACUUCAACCAUGGAACGAAGUCUCUUUCCAGAUGGCGCAACAUAAUACACAUCAGCAAACCGAGUGCCUCCUUCGCCUCGGAUUCUUAAAAGCCGUUCCCACCCAGGAGGGGGCUGAGCAAUAUUAGGCUUGUCAAUAGCCCAGAGCCUACUUCCAUCUUGAGUAAGAUCAGGAGGAUCGGCACAUGAUAGUUCAGCACGCCACUCAUGAGCAGUUUCACAAUAAAAAGGUUGUUCCAGAAUGUGUUCUCUUAUCUCCUCAUACUUCUCCUUUGUAGGAAUAAGCCUCCAUUUAAAGCAGUUAGCGCACUGCACAGUAAAUGCCCCAACAGAUGGCAAAAGCCUAGUUGUGUAAUUGGGAAAGGAGUUUCGUCGAGGCUGAGAAUUAACAGGAUCGGCGUCAAGUGCAAUUUCAUCCGCACCAACAGCAGCGGGAUCGUAAAGCACCAACUGUUUUUGAGCAUCUUCACUGUGGUUAUCCUCAUCAUCUGUGUUAUGUUCUUCUUCUUCUGCUAAAGAAGCAACAUCCUUAGGAUUCUGAUUAGAAGUUCCAAUCCCUCCAGUGCUUGCAGAGCUUCUUGAAUCUUUUGGCUCAUGCUUCACCUUAUCUCUGCGACUAGCAACUGAAGAACCAUAAAUAUCAUUAUGAUCUGCUUUUCCAGGGGUCGCAAUGUCCAGAUGAUCUCGCUCCAUCCAACCAAAUCUAAGUAUGAAUAGAACCAAAAUCAGAAACAAAGGGAUCUAAGUCAGCAUCAUCCAAGAAUCAACGUUUUUGGGUAAAUU
rnacentral:misc_RNA from 1 species